GCCGUGAUCGUAUAGUGGUUAGUACUCUGCGUAGGUCGCAGCAACCCCGGGUUCGAAUCCGGGUCACGGCA